CCUACGGGCGGCAGCAGUGGGGAAUAUUGCACAAUGGGCGCAAGCCUGAUGCAGCCAUGCCGCGUGUGUGAAGAAGGCCUUCGGGUUGUAAAGCACUUUCAGCGGGGAGGAAGGCGUUAAGGUUAAUAACCUUGUCGAUUGACGUUACCCGCAGAAGAAGCACCGGCUAACUCCGUGCCAGCAGCCGCGGUAAUACGGAGGGUGCAAGCGUUAAUCGGAAUUACUGGGCGUAAAGCGCACGCAGGCGGUCUGUCAAGUCGGAUGUGAAAUCCCCGGGCUCAACCUGGGAACUGCAUUCGAAACUGGCAGGCUAGAGUCUUGCAGAGGGGGGUAGAAUUCCAGGUGUAGCGGUGAAAUGCGUAGAGAUCUGGAGGAAUACCGGUGGCGAAGGCGGCCCCCUGGACAAAGACUGACGCUCAGGUGCGAAAGCGUGGGGAGCAAACAGGAUUAGAUACCCCAGUAGUC
rnacentral:rRNA from 1 species